rnacentral:misc_RNA from 1 species
AACGCACGAGACCUGCGGACCUGCGGAGGGAUCAUUAAUGAGAAGCUGCCCCUCGUGGGUAGACCUCCCACCCUCUGUGAACUUACCUUUGUUGCUUUGGCAGGCCCGUCCCCUGGACCGCCGGCUUCGGCUGGCCCGUGCCUGCCAGAGGAUUCCAAACCCUGUCUGUCAGUGUUGUCUGAGUCUAUAUGAAAUCGUUAAAACUUUCAACAACGGAUCUCUAGAUCGGAAGAGCACACG